UCUCUACGAAAAAUACAAAAAUUAGCUGGACACGGUGGCAGGCGCCUGUUAUUCCAGCUACUCGGGAGGCUAAGGCAAGAGAAUCGCUUGAACCCAGGAGGCAGAGGUUGCAGUGAACCGAGAUCGCGCCAUUGCACUCCAGCCUGGGUGACAAGAGUGAAACUCCGUCUCAAAAAAAAAAAAAUUGUUUUAUAUCUAGUGUGUCUUGAAGUGAACCUGAACUUCACUAACAUUGCCAAGAGUCUACCCCAAGACGUGGACCAUAGAUGUGAGUUCAGUAUAAAUUAUAUGGCUAUAGGAAAGUCACUUAGAGAAACUUUCACUGUGCCUCAGUAUCUCCCUGAGAUGCCUGCCUUGCUUGUAGAGAUAAUGUGAAAACAUUUCACUUGGAAAUAAAGUCACCAUCCAAAUCUAAGAUCUGAUAUAAAAGAGAUGAUAAAGAACACUAAGUUCACAUUACUCUUCCUGGUAUUUUAAAUGUCUUUUCUAUCUUUGAAAAGCUGACCUGGAACACAGAGAAGGGAAUUUUUUUUUUCCUUUUAAAGAUUCCUAUGGAGGAUUGUUCUGGAAUCCAUCAGAAUGUUCUAAUACCUAGCCUCUAAUUUGUCAUAAUAAGGCAUGACACAUUACAAUGUAGAUUGAUAAAACUGGUUUGGAAAGCAAUUUAUCCACACUCAUCAACCUCAAAAAUGU
rnacentral:lncRNA from 1 species